GCGACGCCGCGUGNAAGGAUGANGCCCUUUGGGGNGUAAACUCCUUUCGACCAUUACAAUCUUGACNGAUCUGNCUGGAAGAAGCACNUUGCUAAACUCUGUGCCCAGCAGCCGCGGUAAUACAGUAGGGUGUCAAGCGUUGUUCGGANUUAUUGGGCGUAAAGGGCUGCUGUAGGCGGGUGNCUCUAGUNNCCAGGUUAAAUCUCCGGGCUUAACUCUCGAGCCUGCAUUUGAAACUGUGGUGCUGGAGUGUGNGAGAGGUGNGNGGAAUUCCCGGUGUAGNGGUGANAUNCGUUGAUAUCGNGAGGAACACCUGUGGCGAAAGCGGCNCACUGGACCAUUCCUGACGCUGAGGCNCGAAAGCUNGGGGAGCAAACAGGAUUAGAUACCCUGGUAGUCCUNGCCCUAAACGAUGNUUGCUUGNUGUNUCAAGUACCCANUCCUGCUGUGCCGCAGCUAACGCGAUAAGCAAUCCGCCUGGGGAGUACGGUCGCAAGGACUGAAACUCAAAANAAUUGACGGA
rnacentral:rRNA from 1 species